AUUGAACGCUGGCGGCAGGCCUAACACAUGCAAGUCGAGCGCCCCGCAAGGGGAGCGGCAGACGGGUGAGUAACGCGUGGGGAUCUGCCUAGUGGUACGGAACAACACGGGGAAACUCGUGCUAAUACCGUAUAAGUCCUUCGGGAGAAAGAUUUAUCGCCAUUAGAUGAACCCGCGUCUGAUUAGCUAGUUGGUGAGGUAACGGCUCACCAAGGCGACGAUCAGUAGCUGGUCUGAGAGGAUGAUCAGCCACACUGGGACUGAGACACGGCCCAGACUCCUACGGGAGGCAGCAGUGGGGAAUAUUGGACAAUGGGCGCAAGCCUGAUCCAGCCAUGCCGCGUGAGUGAUGAAGGCCUUAGGGUUGUAAAGCUCUUUCGCUGGGGAAGAUAAUGACGGUACCCAGAGAAGAAGCCCCGGCUAACUUCGUGCCAGCAGCCGCCGUAAUAC
rnacentral:rRNA from 1 species